rnacentral:pre_miRNA from 7 species
AACUGGAACCUCUUGCUGGGAGAAAGAAAAGGCAAAAGUCUACAGAUGAAAGACCUUUGAAGGGAGACCCUCACUCAAGUCUCGGGAUAAUAGCAGACCCCCAAGAACUCACGAGAGACC